rnacentral:rRNA from 1 species
UGGGGAAUCUUCCGCAAUGGACGAAAGUCUGACGGAGCAACGCCGCGUGAGUGAAGAAGGUUUUCGGAUCGUAAAACUCUGUCUUUUGGGGCGAACGUGAGUAUGGUGAACAAUCAUAGUCAGUGACGGUACCAAAGGAGGAAGCCACGGCUAACUACGUGCCAGCAGCCGCGGUAAUACGUAGGUGGCAAGCGUUGUCCGGAAUUAUUGGGCGUAAAGAGCGCGUAGGCGGGAUAGUCAGUCUGUUGUAAAGUGCGGGGCUCAACCCCGUGAUGCAAUGGAAACAGCUAUUCUUGAGUGCAGGAGAGGAAAGUGGAAUUCCCAGUGUAGCGGUGAAAUGCGUAGAUAUUGGGAGGAACACCAGUGGCGAAGGCGACUUUCUGGACUGUGUCUGACGCUGAGGCGCGAAAGCCAGGGGAGCGAACGGGAUUAGAUACCCCGGUAGUCCUGGCCGUAAACGAUGGGUACUAGGUGUGGGAGGUAUCGACCCCUUCCGUGCCGGAGUUAACGCAAUAAGUACCCCGCCUGGGGGAGUACGGUCGCAAGACUGAAACUAAAUGAAUUGACGGGGUCAUAGCUGUUUCC